UUGACCUCGGAUCAGGUAGGACUACCCGCUGAACUUAAGCAUAUCAAUAAGCGGAGGAAAAGAAACCAACAGGGAUUGCCCCAGUAACGGCGAGUGAAGCGGCAACAGCUCAGAUUUGGAAUCUGGCCUUCGGGCCCGAGUUGUAAUCUGGAGAGGAUGUUUCUGGCGCGGUGCCUUCCGAGUUCCCUGGAACGGGACGCCGGAGAGGGUGAGAGCCCCGUACGGUUGGACACCUAGCCUUUGUGAAACUCCUUCGACGAGUCGAGUAGUUUGGGAAUGCUGCUCAAAAUGGGAGGUAAAUUUCUUCUAAAGCUAAAUAUUGGCCAGAGACCGAUAGCGCACAAGUAGAGUGAUCGAAAGAUGAAAAGCACUUUGAAAAGAGGG
rnacentral:rRNA from 1 species